CCUACGGGGGGCAGCAGUGGGGAAUUUUCCGCAAUGGGCGAAAGCCUGACGGAGCAAUACCGCGUGAGGGAUGACAGCCUGUGGGUUGUAAACCUCUUUUCUCAAGGAAGAAGUUCUGACGGUACUUGAGGAAUAAGCAUCGGCUAACUCUGUGCCAGCAGCCGCGGUAAUACAGAGGAUGCAAGCGUUAUCCGGAAUCACUGGGCAUAAAGCGUCUGUAGGUGGUUCGGUAAGUCUGCUGUUAAAGACUAGGGCCUAACCCUAGAAAAGCAGUGGAAACUGCCAAACUUGAGUGUGGUAGAGGUAGAGGGAAUUCCUAGUGUAGCGGUGAAAUGCGUAGAUAUUAGGAAGAACACCAAUGGCGAAGGCACUCUACUGGGCCAUAACUGACACUGAGAGACGACAGCUAGGGGAGCAAAUGGGAUUAGAUACCCCAGUAGUC
rnacentral:rRNA from 1 species